GCGUGGGAACGUGCCUUCCGGUUCGGAAUAACCCUGGGAAACUAGGGCUAAUACCGGAUACGCCCUUAUGGGGAAAGGUUUACUGCCGGAAGAUCGGCCCGCGUCUGAUUAGCUAGUUGGUGGGGUAACGGCCUACCAAGGCGACGAUCAGUAGCUGGUCUGAGAGGAUGAUCAGCCACACUGGGACUGAGACACGGCCCAGACUCCUACGGGAGGCAGCAGUGGGGAAUAUUGCGCAAUGGGCGAAAGCCUGACGCAGCCAUGCCGCGUGUGUGAAGAAGGCUCUAGGGUUGUAAAGCA
rnacentral:rRNA from 1 species